GACGAACGCUGGCGGCGUGCCUAAUACAUGCAAGUAGAACGCACAGUUUAUACCGUAGCUUGCUACACCAUAGACUGUGAGUUGCGAACGGGUGAGUAACGCGUAGGUAACCUGCCUGGUAGCGGGGGAUAACUAUUGGAAACGAUAGCUAAUACCGCAUAAUAUUGAUUAUUGCAUGAUAAUUAAUUGAAAGGUGCAAUUGCACCACUACCAGAUGGACCUGCGUUGUAUUAGCUAGUAGGUGAGGUAACGGCUCACCUAGGCGACGAUACAUAGCCGACCUGGGGGGGGGAUCGGCCAACCUGGGGCUGGGGAGCGGGCCAGACUCCUACGGGAGGCAGCAGUAGGGAAUCUUCGGCAAUGGACGAAAGUCUGACCGAGCAACGCCGCGUGAGUGAAGAAGGGUUUCGGAUCGUAAAGCUCUGUUGUAAGAGAAGAACGGGUGUGAGAGUGGAAAGUUCACACUGUGACGGUAUCUUACCAGAAAGGGACGGCUAACUACGUG
rnacentral:rRNA from 1 species